rnacentral:rRNA from 1 species
GCGGCAGGCCUAACACAUGCAAGUCGAACGGUAACAUAGAUUGCUUGCAAUCUGAUGACGAGUGGCGCACGGGUGCGUAACGCGUAUGCAAUCUACCUUUUACAGGAGAAUAGCCCAGAGAAAUUUGGAAUAAUGCUCCAUAAUAUCAUUUAUCAGCAUUGGUUUAUGAUUAAUGCUCCGGCGGUAAAAGAUGAGCAUGCGUUCUAUUAGCUAGUAGGUGAGGUAACGGCUCACCUAGGCUACGAUAGAUAGGGGCCCUGAGAGGGGGAUCCCCCACACUGGUACUGAGACACGGACCAGACUCCUACGGGAGGCAGCAGUGAGGAAUAUUGGACAAUGGAGGAAACUCUGAUCCAGCCAUGCCGCGUGCAGGAUGACUGCCCUAUGGGUUGUAAACUGCUUUUAUAUAGGAAGAAACACUCCCACGUGUGGGGGCUUGACGGUACUAUAUGAAUAAGGAUCGG